rnacentral:misc_RNA from 1 species
AGCUAGAGAAGGAGAUGUGGGAGAAAUUUUACAGUACUGGGUUUUGGAGAAGUACUUCUCAAAGAGAGGUUCCUAGCAUAAAUCCCCACAUAGAUUCACUUAAGGCUAAGGUUAAGCUAUAGAUAAUAGCCUUUCCAUGUUCAUGCUGUUAAUUACUUCAAAACUGGUAAAUAUUUUUAAUUUUCUACCCAUUUCUUCUUCUUCUUCUUCAUAUGUUCUUUGUUUGUUUCUUGAAUUUCUCUUUCUUUCUUGUUGAUGGUGGUGUGGUUGGAUUGGAUUGGAAAGAAAUUAAAGAUCCAUAUUUGCAUUGUAGAGUUAAAGAAAACGAGGGUUGAAAGGCUUGAGGUCUGUGUUAUGUGUCUUCUUUCUUAAACUAAUGCUAUAAGGAUUGGGUUUACUUUGUUAAUUGGUGUGAAGGAUCAGAAAUUAUGAAUGGAAACACACAGAAAAUUGCAAAUCUGAUAUCAUGUUGACAUU